UACGUAGGGUGCAAGCGUUGUCCGGAAUUAUUGGGCGUAAAGAGCUCGUAGGCGGUUUGUCGCGUCUGCUGUGAAAACGCGGGGCUCAACUCCGCGCCUGCAGUGGGUACGGGCAGACUAGAGUGCGGUAGGGGAGACUGGAAUUCCUGGUGUAGCGGUGAAAUGCGCAGAUAUCAGGAGGAACACCGGUGGCGAAGGCGGGUCUCUGGGCCGAUACUGACGUGGAGGAG
rnacentral:rRNA from 1 species